rnacentral:rRNA from 1 species
UACGAGGGGCCCAACCGUUAUUCGGAAUUACUGGGCUUAAAGAGUUCGUAGGCGGCGCAGAAAGUAGGGUGUGAAAGCCCUCGGCUUAACCGAGGAAUUGCGCUCUAAACUACUGUGCUUGAGGAACCUAGAGGUGAGCAGAACAGAUGGUGGAGCGGUGAAAUGCGUUGAUAUCAUCUGGAAUACCGGAGGCGAAGGCGGCUCACUGGGGGUUUUCUGACGCUGAGGAACGAAAGCCAGGGUAGCGAACGGG